rnacentral:rRNA from 1 species
GUCUACGGCCAUACCACCCUGAACACGCCCGAUCUCGUCUGAUCUCGGAAGCUAAGCAGGGUCGGGCCUGGUUAGUACUUGGAUGGGAGAAAUGUCUCUCCCUCUCUC